rnacentral:rRNA from 1 species
GACGAACGCUGGCGGCGUGCUUAACACAUGCAAGUCGAACGGAAAGGCCCUUCGGGGUGCUCGAGUGGCGAACGGGUGAGUAACACGUGGGUGAUCUGCCCUGCACUUUGGGAUAAGCCUGGGAAACUGGGUCUAAUACCGAAUAGGACCACGCAUUUCAUGGUGUGUGGUGGAAAGCUUUUGCGGUGUGGGAUGGGCCCGCGGCCUAUCAGCUUGUUGGUGGGGUAAUGGCCUACCAAGGCGACGACGGGUAGCCGGCCUGAGAGGGUGACCGGCCACACUGGGACUGAGAUACGGCCCAGACUCCUACGGGAGGCAGCAGUGGGGAAUAUUGCACAAUGGGCGCAAGCCUGAUGCAGCGACGCCGCGUGAGGGAUGACGGCCUUCGGGUUGUAAACCUCUUUCAAUAGGGACGAAGCGCAAGUGACGGUACCUAUAGAAGAAGGACCGGCCAACUACGUGC